AGCGUGUGGCGGCGAUGACGGGGAGGCCCCGGAGCGGGAAGAAGAGCUGCGGUCUGAAAGGUUCUCAUGGCCUGGACACUGAUGCGUGGGCUGCAGGGCCAACCCCCGACGGUCUGUCCUAGGGGGACAGUCAGCCUCCUGCAAGAUACCCAGGCCCCUCCCCUCCGUCCUAAUCCGGAUCCUGAUUUCCAGCUCGUAGAGAUGGCCCGAGGGAACUGGAGGUGUCUAUGGACCUGACUCCACUUGUGCACAGCCGCCUGGGGAAGCUCCCUGACCAGGGGCGCUUUCAUCAGCUCUCAUGUCCAGAAGCGCCGGGGCAGGGGUGCAAGGCAGCACCUGCCUGAGUGGGGAGCGUGUGGAAGAUGCUCGUGCCACCGCCUCAUCCCCAUGGGCUCCCCUCGCCCAGCACCGUCCACCUCCGGGCUUCACCCUGUCAGCAGAAGCGCUCGGAGACCAGUCUGACUUGAAGACAGUCCCCUGGGCACUGUGCGGUACUGCUCACCUCCAGAUGCUCCUGGAGAUGCUCCUCCCCAGGAGAGCAGAACUGAAGCUGUGGAAGGAGGAGGAAAAGGAGGGGUCGUUUCUGCAACACACGAGCCCAGACUGGCCCCGGGUUCUCUGGGGAUAUGUAAGUCAGCGGGCUGGGAGCCGGACACCGCAACCCCACACUUCUUCUGGAACGCGAGUGACACACCAGAGCAGCUGCCCGGUCCUCAGCAGCUCCCCGAUCCCGCAUGGCUUCGUCUCGUUCGGUGAAGUCCCUGAGGCUUUUCCGCUGCAAACUGGGGCUGAAGCGCCUUCGCAGCCUCCCCAGGCCCAGCCCUGGCCCCAGCACGUGACCCGGCCCCAGCCUUGGACUCAAAUCUUGUCCCAGCCCCAGCCCCAGCCCCACAUCUGGAUGAGAAACACACCCAGGCCUCUCUCCCGCCCCACCUCCCCAGACAUCCCAUCCUGCUCUGCGCCCCACUGUAGAGGGGACCUUAAAGGAGACCCUAGAACCAGUGGCCCCACAUCCCAGGAGAAGGCGCAAGUCCUCAUCCCAGCUGAAAGUGAACAUCUGGGAUGGCCUCGCAGAAGCCACAGAGCUGGAAGAGGA